rnacentral:rRNA from 1 species
AUACGUAGGGAGCGAGCGUUGUCCGGAAUUACUGGGGGUAAAGGGAGCGUAGGCGGGAGUGCAAGGCAGAUGUGAAAUACAUGGGCUCAACCUAUGGGCUGCAUUUGAAACUGCAUUUCUUACGUGAAGGAGAGGUAAGCGGAAUUCCUGGUGAAGCGGUGAAAUGCGUAGUUAUAAGUGGGAACACCGGUGGCGAAGGCGGCUUACUUGGCUUUUACUGACGCUGAGGCUCUAAAGCGUGGGGAGCAAACAGGAUUAGAUACCCUGGUAGUCCACGCUGUAAACGAUGAUUUCUAGGUGUGGGGGGACUGACCCCUUCCGUGCCGCAGUUAACACAAUAAGUAAUCCACCUGGGGAGUACGGCCGCAAGGUUGAAACUUAAAGGAAUUGACGGGG